GAUGAAGAACGCAGCGAAAUGCGAUAACUAAUGUGAAUUGCAGAAUUCAGUGAAUCAUCGAAUCUUUGAACGCACAUUGCGCCCGCCAGCACUCUGGCGGGCAUGCCUGUUCGAGCGUCAUUUCAACCAUCAAGCCCCCAGGGGCUUGUGCUGGGGCCCUGCGGCUGCCCGCAGGCCCUGAAAACCAGUGGCGGGCUCGCUAGUCACACCGAGCGCAGUAGCACAUCUCGCUCAGGGCGUGCGGCGGGCUCCUGCCGUGAAACCCCCCACUGUAACCCCAAAGGUUGACCUCGGAUCAGGUAGGAAUACCCGCUGAACUUAAGCAUAUCAAUAAGCGGAGG
rnacentral:misc_RNA from 1 species